CAGCUGUGCUCAAACCGAGUGAAUUGAGUCUGUACUCAAUUAGUAACAAGGAAGGAGAGGUAAUAACCAGCUUGUGAAUCUGAACCACCUGUUGCUUCUGAAUACUAAUGGAACUGCAAAGACCAGCAUAUUCCAGCAGAUUACAAUUGGGUUGAAC
rnacentral:lncRNA from 11 species